UGGGGAUGUAGCUCAGUUGGUAGGGUGCUUGCCUAUCAUGCAGGAGGCCCUGGGCUCAAUCCCCAGCACCUCAU